rnacentral:misc_RNA from 1 species
GGAAUAAAUGAUGAACAAUGAUAUGCUCCAAACCGCUGGCAUGCAUAAGCUCUUGCAAAAUUAGUUCAUGCUACUAUUACUGCUACUUCUAUCUUUAAUCCCAAGCAAAUAAAUAUCUUGCAUUCUACACUCCUAACCAGUUGUUUUACUAGCAUUCUUCCAAUAUUUUCUAGCCUUCAAGUUCAACCACAGCUUUUUCAGUGCUAACAGAUUUCAUAAUUCAC